rnacentral:tRNA from 1 species
GCCUUCGUGGUGUAGUGGUCAGCACGCUCGACGCGUAACCAAGAAUUCCGUGGUUCGAUUCCCGGUGAAGGCG